rnacentral:rRNA from 1 species
AUUUGAUAGUGCUUUACUACUUGGAUAACCGUGGUAAUUCUAGAGCUAAUACAUGCAAAUCAAUCCCGACUUCGGAAGGGAUGUAUUUAUUAGAUUAAAAACCAAUGCCCUCUGGGCUCUCUGGUGAUUCAUGAUAACUGCGCGAAUCGCAUGGCCUUGCGCCGGCGAUGGCUCAUUCAAAUUUCUUCCCUAUCAACUUUCGAUGUUUGGGUAGUGGCCAAACAUGGUUGCAACGGGUAACGGAGGGUUAGGGCUCGACCCCGGAGAAGGAGCCUGAGAAACGGCUACUACAUCCAAGGAAGGCAGCAGGCGCGCAAAUUACCCAAUCCCGACACGGGGAGGUAGUGACAAUAAAUACUGAUACAGGGCUCUUUUGGGUCUUGUAAUUGGAAUGAGUACAAUUUAAAUCCCUUAACGAGGAACAAUUAGAGGGCAAGUCUGGUGCCAGCAGCCGCGGUAAUUCCAGCUCUAAUAGCGUAUAUUAAAGUUGUUGUGGUUAAAAAGCUCGUAGUUGAACCUUGGGCCUGGCUGGCCGGUCCGCCUCACCGCGUGCACUGGUCCGGCCGGGCCUUUCCCUCUGUGGAACCCCAUGCCCUUCACUGGGUGUGGCGGGGAAGCAGGACUUUUACUUUGAAAAAAUUAGAGUGCUCUAAGCAGGCCAAUGCUCGAAUACAUUAGCAUGGAAUAAUGAAAUAGGACGCGCGGUUCUAUUUUGUUGGUUUCUAGGACCGCCGUAAUGAUUAAUAGGGACAGUCGGGGGCAUCAGUAUUCAAAUGUCAGAGGUGAAAUUCUUGGAUCAUUUGAAGACUAACUACUGCGAAAGCAUUUGCCAAGGAUGUUUUCAUUAAUCAGGAACGAAAGUUAGGGGAUCGAAGACGAUCAGAUACCGUCGUAGUCUUAACCAUAAACUAUGCCGACUAGGGAUCGGACGAUGUUAUAUUUUGACUCGUUCGGCACCUUACGAGAAAUCAAAGUGCUUGGGCUCCAGGGGGA